GGGCAAGCGUUGUUCGGAAUCAUUGGGCGUAAAGGGCGCGCAGGUGGCUCUGUAUGUCUGCCGUGAAAGCAUACAGCUCAACUGUAUUGUGUCGGUAGAAACUGCAGGACUUGAGGCUGGGAGGGGCUGGUGGAAUUCCCUGUGUAGCGGUGAAAUGCGUAGAGAUGGGGGAGAACACUCGUGGCGAAGGCGGCCAGCUAGACCAGUUCUGACACUGAGGCGCGACAGCGUGGGGAGCAAACAGG
rnacentral:rRNA from 1 species